rnacentral:rRNA from 1 species
UUUAGUUUGACGUCCCGAAACUACGUGAGCUACUCUAAGACAGCCUAUUAAUAGGGCAUACCCGUCUCUGUGGCAAAAGGGUGGGGAGAGCUUUGAGUAGAGGUGACAAACCUACCGAACCUAGUUAUAGCUGGUUGUCCAAGAAAUGAAUAGAAGUUCAGCCUCUUGGCUUCUUUGUUCACACUAGUCUAACCCCUAAAUUGAUGCAUAAAGAAACCAACAGAGUUAGUCAAAGGGGGUACAGCCCCUUUGAAUCAAGACACAACUUUACUAGGAGGGUAAAGAUCAUAAUAACUAAAGCCAGAUGUUCCGGUGGGCCUAAAAGCAGCCAUCCCUUUAGAAAGCGUUAAAGCUCGAACAUAUACCCGCCCCUUCUUAUUCUGAUCCCCUUAUCUUACCCCCCUAAACGUACUGGACCAUCCCAUGCCCCCAUGGGAGUGACUAUGCUAAUAUGAGUAAUAAGAGGGCCAAAGGCUCUCUCCCUGCACACGUGUACAUCGGAACGGACACUCCACCGACAAUUAACGGCCCCAAACAAAGAGGGCAUUGGACAACAAACCAAACAACCAGAAAAGCCUCCAACAACAAACCGUUAACCCCACACAGGUGUGCCCACAGGGAAAGACUGAAAGAAAGAGAAGGAACUCGGCAAACACAAGCCUCGCCUGUUUACCAAAAACAUCGCCUCUUGUAUCAUUAAAAAUAAGAGGUCCCGCCUGCCCUGUGACUAUUUGUUUAACGGCCGCGGUAUUUUGACCGUGCGAAGGUAGCGCAAUCACUUGUCUUUUAAAUGAAGACCCGUAUGAAUGGCAUAACGAGGGCUUAGCUGUCUCCUCUUUCCGGUCAAUGAACUUGAUCUCCCCGUGCAGAAGCGGGGAUAAAACCAUAAGACGAGAAGACCCUAUGGAGCUUUAGACACGAAAGCAGCCCACGUUAAGCACCCCAAAUAAGGGACUAAACCAAGUGGGCCCUGCCCUAAUGUCUUUGGUUGGGGCGACCGCGGGGAAUUAAAGAACCCCCACGUGGAACGGGAACACUUUUCCUACAACCAAGAGCUACAGCUCUAGAAAACAGAAAUUCUGACCAACAAGAUCCGGCAAUGCCGAUCAACGGACCGAGUUACCCUAGGGAUAACAGCGCAAUCCUCUUUUAGAGCCCAUAUCGACAAGGGGGUUUACGACCUCGAUGUUGGAUCAGGACAUCCUAAUGGUGCAGCCGC